rnacentral:hammerhead_ribozyme from 1 species
AUCCACCUGACGAGUCCCAAAUAGGACGAAAUGCGCAUCAAACUGAAU